rnacentral:lncRNA from 1 species
AGUGCUGAGAGAGGGACAAAGGACCACACCUUGUGUGUAUCAGCCAAUUCCCCUUGCUGAGAAUUUAUUUAUCCAGAACCUUUCCAAGAGCAAGUCUUCACAGGAGAAAAGAAAGAACAAUACCAAAGGAAUAGAGGAAAAGAAACAAAUGCAAGUACGUCUACUUGGAGUUUAAAGUUUAACUGAGGACUGGCCCAGCCAGAACAUUAUAGAUUGCCAUGAAGUUAGAAAUAAUUAAUGAUAAUUGAAAUAGCUGUGAGUUAUUAGUAGUAUUUGGAUUAUUAAGAUAAAGAUAAUUAUAAUAAAAUUAGGUACUACAAAUAGUGAUUGCAGUAAUGAUUUUAACUUUAAUGAUUGCUUUAAAAGUGUGCUAGAAAUAGAUUUUCCAUAAAUGGACUAAUAAUAAUAAUGAUAAUAAUAAUACCUACCAUUUAUCGAGGGCUUACUAUGCAUCAGGAGCUAUGCUAUGUUCUGCAUAUACAUUAUCUUAACCGAUUAAAAAUGUGUUGAUGAUGUGGAUUCAUGAGAAGAGGGUAUGAAUUUUGUGGGAGUAUAUGUCUAGAAAGUUACCCGAGAAAAGAAUUAGCUGAAGAAAGGUUUCUUUAGAAUUCUACAUAUAAGGACUUUCCAUUAUAACAAUAGCACUUCUGAGGUGCAUCUUUCCAAGAUCAGCAAGGAGAGAAUAUUUGAAAUUGACUCUGAGCACUCUCCAUGGACUGCUGUGCAGGAGGCUCAUUCCACAUGCAUGAAUAGGAGGCUCUGGCAGUAAAAACAACCUUGGGAGGAACCCUUACUCAAAACUACCCACCAAAACUACAGCAAAAGACAUUUCUGCUUGGCUUGAGUCUGGAAUAUGUCAUCUGUUAUCAGAUCCUGAAAAUGUUGAGCAUUUGUGCAAAAGGAGUUCAGCUACGCGUGUAUGCACAUGCAGUGGUGCCUUUGGUCCCUUUUGACUGCAAGUUCCAAAUUUACCAAAGCAGAAUAUGUGGAGGCUUCCAACGUCUGUGCCGUUCUUGGUGCAUAGGAAGGAGUGAUCAACACAAGGGCAGAGGAGCAUUUUGGACAGUCUCACUCCCACCAAACUGACACUGAUUGCCCAUCUUGACUCAGGAGCAUUUGUUCCCGGGCUGAUACCUUUUCCUCAUGAGUGAGGUUCGUGCACACCAAUAUCCUUGGUAAUGCCAAACAGUGGAAUGCUAAUUAAAAUAAUAGGAUGGGAAAACAUAGAGGGUCUUCCUUCAGAGUUGUCGAUCUACUGACUCAAUUUAUUGCUGUAAGUGUGAGCAAAUAACAUGGGAGUUGAAUGUGUUUAAAAUGGGAAAGUUGAGAAGAGUUUCCUCAGUACCUUCAUGUUCCCUUCCCUUUCUACAUAUCAGAACAUGGCCUUAGAAAAGGAUCUAAACAUACUUUGUCCCAAUGGUAUAAAUAAUAAAUGAUUGCUUGGUAACUUGCACUUUAAUAAGAAACAAUGAAAGGUAUCUAUUGCUAUUCAAUACAACUUUCUGUGAUGGUAGAAAUGUCCCAUAGGAAUGUGGGUGGUAUGCCAGAGGGACUCAACUUUUAUUUUUAUUUCAUUUCAGUUAACUUUAAAGAGCCACAUGUGUCUAGUGCCUACCAUAUUGGAAGUGUGGAAAUAGGCCAUUAAUGAUGAGCUUUAAAGCCUUCAGCUAUUUCAAAUGAAGUAUGUUUUUUUGACAAGAGUUUAAUCAUCCUGGCAUUGCUGAAAUGGUACCAUUGCCACCUGAAAGAGUAGCACUGACCAUUUCUAGUGUCUAGCACAGCAGUAUUAAAUCAUAGGCAACAGUAAGAAUGAAGAAUGAAUGUAUGAGUAUAGUGUCUUAGAUUUCCAGUGUUACCUUCCUUUC